rnacentral:rRNA from 1 species
UACAGAGGGUGCGAGCGUCUAAUCGGAAUUACUGGGCGUAAAGCGUGCGUAGACGGCUAUCUAAGUCGGGUGUGAAAGCCCCGGGCUCAACCUGGGAAUUGCAUUCGAGACUGAAUAGCUAGGGUACGGUAGAGGGAAGUGGAAUUUCCGGUGUAGCGGUGAAAUGCGUAGAUAUCGGAAGGAACAUCAGUGGCGAAAGCGACUUCCUGGACCAAUACUGACGCUCAUGUGCGAAAGCGUGGGGAGCAAACAGG